rnacentral:rRNA from 1 species
GACGAACGCUGGCGGCGUGCUUAACACAUGCAAGUCGAACGGAAAGGCCCUGCUUUUGUGGGGUGCUCGAGUGGCGAACGGGUGAGUAACACGUGAGUAACCUGCCCUUGACUUUGGGAUAACUUCAGGAAACUGGGGCUAAUCCCGGAUAGGAGCUCCUGCUGCAUGGUGGGGGUGGGAAAUUUUCGGCGGUUGGGGAUGGACUCGCGGCUUAUCAGCUUGUUGGUGGGGUAGUGGCUUACCAAGGCUUUGACGGGUAGCCGGCCUGAGAGGGUGACCGGCCACAUUGGGACUGAGAUACGGCCCAGACUCCUACGGGAGGCAGCAGUGGGGAAUAUUGCACAAUGGGCGGAAGCCUGAUGCAGCAACGCCGCGUGCGGGAUGACGGCCUUCGGGUUGUAAACCGCUUUCGCCUGUGACGAAGCGUGAGUGACGGUAAUGGGUAAAGAAGCACCGGCUAACUACGUG